AUACUUACCUGGCGCCGGGACCUCGUUGAUAACCGAGGACGAGCCCCCAGGGUGAAGCGCGGGCAUUGCACUGCGGUCACGUUGACCCCUUGCCACUACCGCAAACUGGGGCAGAGGGGCAUGCAAAUUGC
rnacentral:snRNA from 1 species